ensembl:lncRNA
AGAUUCAGAUGUUGUUGAGUGAUCUGUAAAUGAUUCUGUGUUAGUAGGUCGUGACACUCCAACUGUUUGUAUUGCUGAAGUUUCUGUAGCUUCAGAUGUUAAGAAGUGAUGGCUAGAUGAUUCUGCUGAAGUGGAUGGUAAUGCAGUAAUUGAUUUUGUUAAUGUUUCUGUAGACUCAGUUGUUGAAUGAUCUGUAGAUGAUUUUGGUGAAGUAAGAGGUGAUGCUGUAAUUGGUUGUGUUGAGAAAAUCUCGGGGGAUUCAGAUGUUGAUGAGAGAUCUGGAAAUGAUUCUAUGGAGGUAGAAGGUGAUGUUGUAAAUGAUGGUGUUGGUGAACUUUCUGGAGCUUCAGGUGUUGAAGAGUGAUCUGUGAGCAAUUCUGCAGAAGCAGGUUGUGAUGCUGUAACUGAAUUCGUUGAUGAAAUGUGUUGCAUUUCGGAUGUUGAUGAGUGAUCUGUAGAUGAUACAGGAGAAGAAGGUUGUGAGGCUGUUACUAAGUUUGUUGAUGAAGUUUGUGAAGGGUCAAGUGUUGAUUGUGGUGAAGUAGGUGGUGAUGUAAUUGAAUUGGUUGAUGACUCUGGAGAUUUAGUUGUUAAAUUAUCAGUAGAUUUUUCUGGGGAGGUAGAUGGUGAUGCUCGAAACAAUUGUGAUGAAGUUUCGGGAGAUUCAGAUGAUGCUGAUGGAUCUGUAAAUGAUUCUGUGUUAGUAGGUCGUGACACUCCAUCUGUUUGUAUUGGCGAAGUUUUGUAGCUUCAGAUGUUAAGAAGUGAUGGCUAGAUGAUUCUGCUGAAGUGGAUGGUAAUGCAGUAAUUGAUUUUGUUAAUGUUUCUGUGGACUCAGUUGUUGAAUGAUCUGGAGAUGUUUUUGAUGAAGUAAGAGGUGAUGCUGUAAUUGGUUGUGUUGAGAAAAUCUCGGGGGAUUCAGAUGUUGAUGAGUGAUCUGGAA